UUUUUUUUUUUUUUUUUUUUUUGAGGUGGGGUUUCUAUGUGCAGAUCUAGCUGUCCUGGAACUCUUGCUUGGUAAUCCUGCUGGCCGUGAUCUCAGAGAUUAGUCUGCCCCUGCCUCCUGAGUGCUGGGAUUAAAGGUAUGCGACACCACUGGACAAUUUUUUUUUUUAAAUGUCUCAUAUAUCCCAGGCUGCCUUCAGAUAUUUUGGGUAGCCAAGGAUGACCGUGACCAUCUGGUCCUCACAUCUUCACCUCCAGAAUGCUGGGAUUGUAGUGUUUAUGGUGCUGGAGACCCCGCUUCAGGCUAUGUGUGUGCUGGACAGACACUCUGCCCGCUGAAUUGCACCCCUCACCAUUGAGAACUGGGCUUAUAAAAGUUCUGGGUCAUCGUCUUCGCGACUGAGUUUGGAGAGUUCAUAUAAAGAUCCAUAACCAUAUUAAUUGCCUCAUGGAAAAUUGAAGGGACCCAGCAACAGAGCACACAGCUGUCCACUACGUCCUGAAGAUGAACCAUGAUUUUGUUGAGUUCGGGGACACGACCUGCCCUUUGCAGAUGUUUCUGAUUGUGACAGACACUAUAGCUCCCAGAACCAUAGAGAUUAAAAAGUUAACUCUAUGAAGAUUUUCGUAUUCUUUUGAAUUAUUAUUUUUGUGAAUGUUUGAAAAUAAUCUUUGAAUUAUGUUAGAUUCAUUAAAAAUUUAGAUCUUUGCCUCUUUUAGUUCAUUUAGAGAAGUCCAGUUUUAUUCUUUUUCGAUAACUUUUGGUUGAAAAGCCGUUUCUCUUUUAGAAGAUGUGUGCCUCUUUCUCACCAUUUCCUUCGUUCCUCGAGGGCUUUUAGAACUUAGAAUCCUCUUUCCUGAUGCUCCCCCUCUCUCUAUUUUUAAAGAUAUUUUGGGUUCUGCAGAAGAUUCCCGGUGUUGGGAAAACUAAUAGGAUGUUACAAGCCCUGUAAAGGAGGCUUCUGGCCUCCUGCUAGUCUCAUUGCUGAUGGUGUCAGCUUAGAAAAGACAUUCUCCUCUCAGAUGGCUUCAAAAAGAGCUGAUUGGACAGGCUACCAGGUGUGCGGUUUAUAUAUGUUCCUCUCUCUUCCUCCCCUUAGUCUUUUCAGCCUUCAGCACCGUCUCCCCCUCUUUAGAAACAGCAGGGCACCUUUAGUGAGCUCUCUCCCUCGUGUGCAGUAGAGCAAGCUGAUGCGCCAGCAGAACUAGGAAGAGGCACCACAUGUCAUGUUUGGACCAAUGCUGUAAUUUUAUUUUACAAUAAGGAAGGUGGAUAUUAUUAAUCCACUCCUGAGCAUAAUAGCACGAUUUGAAUAGCAGAGAGCAACUUUGGUGUGUGUUAAUGUCUAGUGAGAUGAAUGCAGAUGAAUGCUAAGUAGGUAGAAAAUGUCAGUGUAGAGCCUUCCCUUCGGUGACUUUAAGCACUUAGAUUUCUAGUUAACUUUUUGUUCAGCCUGGCAAACAGAUAUGAAGACCUAUUCUAUCAAGCCAGCAUUAAUGCAGCUCCUGAGGAUGAACAAUGCCCACAAAGCUCUGCUCUCCUGGCAGCCACUUGAGCUAGGCCAGUUAUAACGAUGAAUCAGAAUGUGUUCCUGUGCUGAGCAUCUUAGAAAAACUCUUCGGAAUAAUAGGAGCUUAAUGCUGGCAGUUUUAAAAAUUGGCACAGCCUACAUGGCGUAGCUAAUUUUUUGAUGUUAUUUUGAGUAUGAACAAAAGUAUAUCUUUAUUUUUAAAAUGACUUUUGCAUUAACUCUACUUAUUUUUUUGAUUAGUACAUAUACACUCUAAGCUGACUUUUGAGCAGCAUUUAAGUCUUAAUUAGCUAUAUUCCUUGAUGCAAUGAUUCUGGAGAUGGGAAUGUUGUUUGUGUUUGAUCUUUUCUGUAGUGUAUAGUUGAGGUGCCUGCAGGGUGUCUGGGCCAUUAGGUGCUGGUGAAGAGUUGAGAAUAGGUUUAACACUCUUGCCCAAACAAAAACAAAAAGCACAGAGGGUGAUCUCUCUCUCUCUGUAAAGAAGGUUGGGAGUGAGCCUCCGAGCAGGCAGGAGGGAACUUGGGUCCUUGUGAGUGGUGGUACUCAGUACUUUUAUGCUGUGUAUCUGAAACGUGUGCCUUUGUUUCUAUAUUGGCAGAAGCCAGGAAGGUUGCAUGAUACUUUUCACCAUCACAUCACCAAGUCCUUAGAUAAGAGCAUUUUGCAGAAACUCGUACAGUAUUCCUUAACUGUCUGUUUAGGAGAAUAGACAGAAAAUGAUAGGUAAUAUUAAUUCCAUAAGCAUCACCUAAGGCCCCAAGAGUUUAAAAACUGUGAAAUUGGGAAAAGGGAUUUAUCUUUGUGUCCUGGGCAUCUAUAAGCAAGUCAGACUCUUGCACACUUCUCUGGGGACAGAAGUGUGGCUUUUUCUAGUCUCUUCCUCCUUUUCUGUGGCUUUUGUUCUUUUGAUCCUCUUUUGUGGUAUGUGUGACUGUUCCCUGGUUUGCCAAGUAGCCAGUCAUAGGGGAAAAAUAUUUACGCAAAACCUGCUAUGUUUUAAGUUGUGGCUGCAGAGAGAUGCUGAGAAUGUCUGAUUCUGCUGUUGGCUGAGAACAGGUCCAAAGCUCAACCUUUCUACAGUUUUAGUCUCAGUAGCAUUAUGUAUGUACCAGCAACUUUCUUUGGUAAAUAAGCUUUCUUUCCUUUUCUUGUAAAAAUAAAACUAGCUCUCUUUUCUCCUCAAAAAAUUAUUUUGUGUGUGUGUGUGUGUGUGUGUGCAUAUGUACAUAACACAGUAUCUAUGGAGGUUGGACAACUUUGUGUAUCUGUCCUCUCCACUUUCACAUGUAUUCAGCUUGUAUUCUAAUCAUGCUUACAUCAUUGGAUGGCUGGCUCCCUUUUCUGCUGGUUGAGUCAUCUCACUGGUCCACGGUUGUUUUCCCAAAACUUUCAUAAAGGUUAUCUUUCUUUGGUUCUUUUUUUAGGGCUUUUACUUUCAAGGUCAAGAGACAAUAGGUCAACUGCUCAUUUAUUUUAUGGAGGAGAGAUUUGUAUAUCCUUGUGUCUUCCUAAUGCCCCAUCUUCCAGGAGCAAAUGUCUAGGCAGCUUCUUCAAGCCUGUCAUUUCUUGUCCUCCAGUCUACAAAUGCCCUUUUGGUGGUAGCUGCAUUUAUAUAUAGUAUAUUUCAUUCUGAAAGGUGAUUGAACAGCCUGUAUGUCGAUCACCUUGAUGUGUUGUGAAGGUUUAUUCCCUCAGUUGGAGUUGGCUGUUUUCACAGUCAUCUGAGUUUGGUUGACUUCUAAGAGUGUUGUGUGCAUAUUGGGGGGAACUUUAAACUUUAUAGACAACACAGCGUUUAGGGUCUGAAAACAGCAAAGAUACCGGUUUUGGUUUUUGUCUUUGCUGCCCACCUCUUAGAGCUCAGCGAAGACUCAGUCAAGUUAUCAGUGUGCUGAGAGAUGGGUAGCAGAUGAGUCUCUGUGUAUGCUUGACUUGGUGUGUAUCCCAGGAAGGUAGGUACCUGGCAGCAGAAUACAUGGUUAGUACGUAAUUCAGUGGCACAGUAACUAAAUAAACAAAACACC
rnacentral:lncRNA from 1 species